rnacentral:rRNA from 1 species
CGGAACGGGUGAGUAACGCGUGAGGAACCUGCCUCAAAGAGGGGGACAACAGUUGGAAACGACUGCUAAUACCGCAUAAGCCCCCGGCUCGGCAUCGAGCAGAGGGAAAAGGAGCAUCCGCUUUGAGAUGGCCUCGCGUCCGAUUAGCUAGUUGGUGAGGUAACGGCCCACCAAGGCGACGAUCGGUAGCCGGACUGAGAGGUUGAACGGCCACAUUGGGACUGAGACACGGCCCAG